CGGGCUGUAGCGCAGUUGGUAGCGCGCAUGGUUCGGGACCAUGAGGCCGCGGGUUCAAGUCCCGCCAGCCCGA
rnacentral:tRNA from 1 species